rnacentral:snoRNA from 1 species
AUCCCAUGAUAAGGAUAGGCGGUGAUGUAUUCUUGUAGUAUUUCCCAUGCUUCUGGGAUCGUCUCAUCUUUCGUCUGCUGGAAACUUUAUAUUCUUCCACGAAGGGU